rnacentral:tRNA from 1 species
UUCUAGAUGACUGAGUAUUAAGUGCAUGACUUUUAAUCUUGUUACGGCAUAUAAAAAAUUAAUUGCCUCUAGGAG